UUACAUGAUCAAGCUACAAAGGGCAUAUGGUGAAUGCCUUGGCACCAGUAGCCGAUGAAGGACGUGAUAAGCUGCGAUAAGCUUCGGGUAGGCGCAAAUAGCCUGUGAUCCGGAGAUUUCCGAAUGGGGAAACCUGCAUACCUAACGGUAUGUACCGUAAAUUGAAUACAUAGAUUUGCGGGGGUAUACCCGGGGAACUGAAACAUCUAAGUACCCGGAGGAAGAGAAAGAAAAAUCGAUUUUCUUAGUAGCGGCGAGCGAAAAGGAAAGAGCCCAAACCAGAAAUUUAUUUCUGGGGUUGUGGAUAGACCAUCAUGAAGACAGACUUUAAUCGAAGAGAGCUGGAACGCUCUACCACAGAAGGUAAUAGUCCUGUAGGUAAAAAAUUAUGUCUUUUAGGUCUAAUCCAGAGUACCACGAGACAC
rnacentral:rRNA from 1 species